rnacentral:lncRNA from 1 species
CGGCUCCUCAGAUGUUAUUUGUCUUUUCCUGCGAGGGACUUGUGACAGUCCAGGGUGUUGUGUAUCCUGUGUGAUUGUUUAUCGCCCAGCCCAUGCCCUGGCCCGAGCAGCCUCUGGGUCGGCACUUCACGUCCCGAACACGACGAGUACGUGAGCGCCGAGGGGAAGGAGGUGACACUCUGGCCGAGGCCCUGACCUCGGGCGCCCAGAAUCACAGUUGGAAAAUGGUCUCCAAGUAUAUACAUGUGACCUAAGACUGAAAACUUCUGAAGAAUGGUGCCAAAACCCCAAGAUGAAGACAUGAAAGCAAGCAGAGGAAUGGAUUAUAGGAACUGAAGACGAGAGGAGAAUCCCUAAGAAAGUUCGUCAAGGGGGCUAAGAUGCCCUGGUGAUGACACUUAGUGAAGGUGUGUCACUAUGUGCCUGAAAAUUCCACAGAGUUAAUAGCAAAAGUGACCAAGAAGUAGCAUUCAAACUUAGACUAUGUGUGGGGGGGGG